UCCUAAUCAUAGGAUAUAUGGUCCAAGUGGUGAAAACAAAGUUUGAAUGCUAAUGCCUUAUGGCUAGGUCUAUAUCAUUUUUGUAUAUAAACAACCCAUAAAUAGUUAUAUAUGAUGAUUGCCUGCAAUGAAGGCCAACCAUUUUGGUUGGCUACAUUACUUAUGUUAGGGAUAAGGAUUCAUAAAAUGAUUCACAAUGGGGAUGAGAGUGGUCAUGUUUUUUGGUUCACAUUAAAUCAGAAGAUAUAUGCUCCACCCCUCUUAGAACUAUGUUUGUACAUAUUCGUUCUUCAUUCCUCCAAAAUUUCCUAGACAAUCAACAAAAAUAAAAAGAAAAAAACCA
rnacentral:lncRNA from 1 species